rfam:Populus trichocarpa scaffold_15_contig_138, whole genome shotgun sequence.
UCUAGAACUCGAGAUAUGGGCUGAACACUGAACAGUGUCUGGGCUGCAGGACAUAUUCCGACUUCUCCAUUGUUGCUAAGAUUUGGACUUCCAAACAGCUGAAUUGAGUCUUUCACUCCGCAUGAAUGUUUUAGGCCCAUGUCUUAGCUUUCUAGC